CCGUAGCCUGGUAGCGGGGGGUAACUAUUGGAAACGAAUAGCUAAUACCGCAUAAUAUUAAUUAUUUGCAUGAUAAUUGAUUGAAAGAUGCAACUGCAUCACUACCAGAUGGACCUGCGUUGUAUUAGCUAGUAGGUGAGGUAACGGCUCACCUAGGCGACGAUACAUAGCCGACCUGAGAGGGUGAUCGGCCACACUGGGACUGAGACACGGCCCAG
rnacentral:rRNA from 1 species